rnacentral:rRNA from 1 species
GGGUCAGUAGGUUGGUCGUGCCACCGGUACGUACUGGUCUCACUGAUUCCUCCUUCCUGAAGAACCGUAAUGCCAUUAAUUUGGUGUUGCGGGGAAACAGGACUGUUACUUUGAAAAAAUUAGAGUGUUUAAAGCAAGCUAACGCUUGAAUACAUUAGCAUGGAAUAAUGAAAUAGGACGAUCAAUCCUACUUUGUUGGUUUCUAGGAUUGACGUA